ensembl:lncRNA
AUGAGAAAAUUAAUUGAAAAAAAUGUAAUAAAGAUAAAUUACAACGAGUUUUUAAAUAAAUGUAAAAAAAAUAGUAAUUAUAAUGAAAUAAAUGAUGAGAAAUUGUAUGAAUAUUUUAUAACAAGAUCCUUUACUUAUUCCAAACCAACCGGUUGUUUGCCUUCAGAUUAUUUAUAUAAAAAUAAUUAUUAUCUUAAUGGUAUAAAUAUACUAGAAAUAAUUAAUUAUGUCAAUAUAAAUGAAUCUUUUUAUAAAAACAAAAGUGUUAUAGAAAAUGAAGAUAAUGAAAAAAAUAAUUAUGAAGACGGUGACAAUUUUAAUGAUUCUUGUAGUGACUCAGAUAAGAGAAGUGAUGAUGUACAUACCGAGGAGGAGGAUGCUGAUUUAGGAUUAGACAAAAAAAAGAAUAAAAAAACAGCUGCAAAAAAGGGUGUAAAAAAAACAACAAAAAUAACGAAGAAAGGUAAAAAUUCUAAUAAAACCAACUCCGAUGACGAUAUGAAAAAUCAAAAUGUUAAUGUUAUUUACGGUAAGAAUAAAAAAAAUAAAUUAAGACGGAUGUACCGUUUUUUAUUAUAUGAUGGAAAGAAUUUUAUAUAUGCCUAUGAAAAAGAAUUUAACGAAAGUUUUAAUUAUCUUGAUAAUAAUUAUCAUAAAUACCCCAAAAUUUUAUUAUUUAAUAACCCAAUAAUACAUCGUGGUGUUUUAUUAUUAAAUAAAAACCAAUCAACUAUUCUUUUUAAGGGAUUUGUUAUAAAAAAGUUAAAUUGUAUGAACAACACUCUGGAUAAUCAUCAAGGAACAAAUUGUUUGUCUACAAAUGAAAAAAGUAGCUUAAACAGCCAUUAUAAAAAUUGGUCUACUAAUAGUUACGUUGAUAACUUUACUUACAAACAUACUGAUAGAUUUACUGACACAUUUACUAACAACUUCAUUAAUCCAUUGAAUAGAAAACCAAUCAAUACAGUCAUUAACGUGUCUACUAAUACAGUGACUAGCAAUUCUACCAAUAUAGUGACUAGCAAUUCUACCAAUANNNNNNNNNNGACUAGCAAUUCUACCAAUAUAGUGACUAACGCAUUAACUAACAAAAACAACUGUACAAUACUAUCAGAUAAUAAUAAAAAAAAUGAAAAGAAGUUCAGUAGCAUAACAAUGAAUGACUAUAAUAAUAACAACUUAAUUAAUCAAACAAAACCAAAUGAACUAACAUACAAUAAAUAUAAUAACUAUAAUAAUGAAUACAUUAAUAAAAAUCACAAAAACUUUGAUAAAAACCAAAGUAAUGAAUACAGUCAUAUAUAUUAUGAUAAUAACACUUGUAAUGAUAAACAAACCAAUUAUUAUAAUACUUGUAACAAAAACAUUAUAAAUAAAAAUAAUAAAAAUGAUUUUAGUAACUCAUAUGGAUCUACAAAUAACGACCUUUAUGUAAGAGAUGUUAGUAGGAGUAACAUAUGCGAUUUGACAAGUAAUUCUACUACAUGUAUGAACAAUAACAAUAAUAGUAGUAGUAAUAAUACAGACAAAUCUAACGUUUAUCAGACCUUUGUAACUAAUGAAAAAAAUUAUAUAACAGAAUACAGAAAUGCUAGUGAUAUACAUUAUAUUACUGACAAAAGUAAUUCAAAUGAUCAUAUGGUCAGUUAUAAUAAACAAAUAGAAAACAAUAAACAAGUUGCAAGAAACGACAAUGAAAUUGUAAAAGAAGUAGACCUUUAUCAUAAUAUAAGCAUGUGUGAACAGGUGAAUAAUUUCCCAGUCGAUAAUAAAAAAAUAAUUAAUAAUUACAAUGACAAUAGUUGGCAUAACAUGAAUGAAGAAACACGUAUUUCAUUAGACCAAUCAAAAUUCAGUUCUUACUUUCCAAAUACAUGUCACGACUUUUUUAGUGAUGAAAAUAAAAUUAAUAAUAAACAAUACAGUUUAGAUAAAACAGAGACAUUCACCAAAACUAAACAAAACAAUCAUUUAAAUAAUUCUAAUCAGUUAGUUGAUCUGACAGAAGACAUUUUUUUAUCAGAUUUUUUUUGUAAACCAUAUACAGUGGAUAAAAAAAAAGAUAAUGAUAAUGACAAUAACGAAAUCAUUAUAUUAGACAAUUAA